rnacentral:rRNA from 1 species
GACGAACGCUGGCGGCGUGCUUAACACAUGCAAGUCGAACGGAAAGGCCAGUGCUUGCACUGGUACUCGAGUGGCGAACGGGUAAGUAACACGUGGGUGAUCUGCCUUGCACUCUGGGAUAAGCUUGGGAAACUGGGUCUAAUACCGGAUAUGAACUGCCUUUAGUGUGGUGGUUGGAAAGUUUUUUCGGUGCAAGAUGAGCUCGCGGCGUAUCAGCUUGUUGGUGGGGUAAUGGCCUACCAAGGCGUCGACGGGUAGCCGGCCUGAGAGGGUGUACGGCCACAUUGGGACUGAGAUACGGCCCAGACUCCUACGGGAGGCAGCAGUGGGGAAUAUUGCACAAUGGGCGGAAGCCUGAUGCAGCGACGCCGCGUGGGGGAUGACGGCCUUCGGGUUGUAAACUCCUUUCGACAGGGACGAAGCGUAAGUGACGGUACCUGUAUAAGAAGCACCGGCUAACUACGUG